CAAGUGCUCGGCCUUUUACAUCCGGGAAGCGUCGGGUUUAGGUUACGUGGUUGAGGUGCGCUGUCGUGUUUUGUGCACUAAGAUGGUGAUUGAGGCAGAACUUUUCGGCCUAGUUAAAAUGCAUGAGAUUCAGGAGUCUUGUAGUGAUCGGUCAGCGACAGCUGUGAAACCUCUAGGUUCGAAAACCUGAGGUAUUCUUUUGGUCACGCGGCGGCCACGUGCCACCCAGGGCGCUGAGUCGGAAGCCGAGCGCGCAUGGUUUUGGGCUCUACAGCAAGGCAUUCGAUCGUGCACCUGAUGACCAGCAAAGGUCGCGAAUUCGGCUGUCGGUGUCAAGUGGCCAUCUUGAAUCUACUCCGCCACUGUUAAAGUAGUAACACCGAGUCCUGAUACCCGCCACAUUUAGAUCCGAGAAAGAAGCUGAACUAACCGUUCCAGUGGAUGACAGAAAACCUGACCAGAUGAUGAAGAAAUUCAAAAUGAUACGGGUGAAAUCCUGUUUAUUUCGAAUCUGGUGGUGUGCUGCCGAACGUGAUUUUUAAAUCUCAACUUCUUGCAUAUCGAAUGGAAAAUAAUCUGGGGUGGUGGUCUCCCAUAUAGGCCAGAAUAUUACUUGGGCAUAAGAAGACAAUAAGUGUGUGCUUGCUUACUAUAAUUAAAUAAAAUGGCUCGAUUCAUCUGA